rnacentral:rRNA from 1 species
UACGUAGGGUGCGAGCGUUGUCCGGAAUUAUUGGGCGUAAAGGGCUCGUAGGCGGUUUGUCGCGUCGGGAGUGAAAUCCACUGGCUUAACUGGUGGCUUGCUUUCGAUACGGGCAGACUGGAGGUAUGCAGGGGAGAACGGAAUUCCUGGUGUAGCGGUGGAAUGCGCAGAUAUCAGGAGGAAUACCGGUGGCGAAGGCGGCAUCCUGGACCGAGAUUGACGCUGAGGAGCGAAAGCUAGGGGAGCAAACGGG